CCAGCCCAAUCAAAAUAAAAUAGAUUGGAAAGAUUAAUGAAGGGAGCAAAAUCUGUGGAAGACGUCUCUUGCUAUGAAGAAAUCCCGAAUUGGAAACACAUUUGUACUGCCCUUCGUAAUAUCACCAUAUCUCUCUCAUCCGAUGUCGUAUUGAGCUGAUUCAAGAGGCCUUGGAAAGCUAGAGCAAAACUUGAAUGAGGUUGAGCAAUUUUACACUUCUGCAAAUAAAAAGAAGCUGAGCACUCCAAAAGGUAGCUCAGUUCUAAAGGACAAAGAUAGCUAGUAGCUGUUUCCCAGCUCAAAAAGGAGGAAAUAGGAUGCAGCCAGUAGGGAAGCAGCUGUUAGUAAGAGAAUGCAAGUGCUUAUGUGCCAAUUUGCAACGAUUCUACAUCAGGUAAUCAUAAAUUCUCUGCAUUCAUAUUUGCAAUAUUAUUUAUAGCCUUCUACUGCGGCUGCUUACACAUGGGGUCCUGUGAAAAUUUUAUGGUGUUUAGCAUCUUUGUUGCCAUGUUUUUGUUGGACACAUCUUUUAGGUUGUCUACAAACCUCCACCUAACAUCCGUUUGUUCUUGCAUUUUUGCAACUAUUUGAAGUCGGUCCCUCCUGUUAAUCUUUUGAUGCUUCUAUAUAUUCGAUCGCGGUUUACAACUA